AUGGCCGCGGUCUACUCCGAAAUCAGAGACAUUAAAACGGCCUCCGCCACGGCCCCCACCGUCUAUCCUCUACCUGUUGCCUGCGGCCACACACCUAGUUCCACAGUGGCCGUGGGCUGCCUGGUCUCCAACUACGUCCCGGAGCCCGUGACCGUGACCUGGAACUCGGGCGCCCUGUCCAGCGGCGUGCACACCUUCCCGUCCGUCCAGCACUCCUCAGGGCUCCACUCCCUCAGCAGCAUUGUGACUGUGCCCGCCGGCACCUCUUUUGGAAAGACCUUCACCUGCAAUGUAGCCCACCCGGCCAGCAGCACCAAGGUGGACAAGAAAAUCGCCUGUGAGAUCCGGGGAGGACCAUCCGUCUUCAUCUUCCCCCCAAAACCCAAGGACAUCCUCACAAUCUCCCGAACGCCCGAGGUCACAUGCUUGGUGGUGGAUGUGAGCCGUGAUCACCCCAAUGUGGAAAUCCACUGGUUCGUGGGUGAGGUGGAGGUGCACACGGCCAAGACGAAGCCAAGGCAGGAGCAGUUCAACAGCACUUACCACGUGGUCAGCGCCCUGCCCAUCCAGCACCAGGACUGGCUUCAGGGAAAGCAGUUCAAGUGCAAGGUCAAACACCAAGACCUCCCAACUGCCAUCGAGAAGACCAUCUCCAGGGCCGAAGGGCAGCCCCGGGAGCCGCAGGUGUACGUUCUGGCCCCACCCCAGGAAGAGCUGACCAAGAGCACGGUCAGUGUAACCUGCAUGGUCAUCGGCUUCUAUCCGAGCGACGUCAACGUGGAGUGGCAGAGGAAAGGGCAGGCUGUGUCGGAGAGCAAUUACCGCACGACCAAACCCCUGCUGGACGCCGACGGCUCCUUCUUCCUGUACAGCAGGCUCAGGGUGGACAGGAGCAGCUGGCAGCAGGGAGACACCUACACGUGUGUCGUGAUGCACGAAGCUCUACCCAGUCACCUCACACAGAAGACCAUCUCCAAGUCUCCGGAACUGCUCCUGGAGGAGGAGAGCUGUGCCGACGCCCAGGAAGGGGAGCUGGAUGGGCUGUGGACCACCAUCUCCAUCUUCAUCACGCUCUUCCUGCUCAGCGUGUGCUACAGCGCCACCGUGACCCUCUUCAAGGUAAAGUGGAUCUUCUCGUCGGUGGUGGGGCUGAAGCGCACCGUCAUCCCCGACUACAGAAACAUGAUCGGGCAGGGCGCCUAG